rnacentral:lncRNA from 1 species
CCCGGAUAAUUAGGCUACAGUAAUCCCUCGUUAAUGAUGCCACAUCACCUCUGUCACUGUAAUUAAUCUCGGGUUAGUUCAAAAACCGAUUCAAAAUUCAAAUUCUAAAUCAAGUCAAACAAUUAAAGUUUUCAAAUAUUAAAACUAAAAUGUUCGUUUUGUGCCAAAUAAUGCAUAGGUAAUUAUGGUGGAGAGACCACACUUUUAUAAAUUGUUUAAAUACUCUAAAAUGAAUAAGACGUAGCGAGAACAAUUAUUUAAAUGCUUUUAAAAUAAUAAACAAUUACAAACUAACUUAUUUUAGGUGCCAAGUUAAUUGUGGUGGUGGCAUAUUUGCUCAUACUAAUUUAGGUACAACUAAUGUAUUUUAUAAAGGGAGUGUCUAGGUCUCAGUCGACUGAGACUUCGCUCUGCUUCUACUGGGUUGAAACGGCUUAGCACCUGGGCUUAUUUCGUUUUCCCCCUGUUUGUUUGUUUGUUACUUUGGGCUGGGCUUCUCACAUUGUUUGUCGUGGUUGAGGCUGGACCAACAAGCUGCUACUGUUGUAUGGGCUUUUCUGUUGGGUUUUUGCUGUUUGUCAGGCCUGCUGUACCUGUGUCCCCAUCCCUGGACGCACCAAACACACAAACAAAAAGAGCAGAAAGCCCAUGUGUAGCUAAAAGACAGGAAAACUUUUGCUCCUCUGUCAAAACCCUGAACCCCCACCCUCCCACCAUGAGAGAACACACUAGUCCUCACCCCUCCCAUCUUUCCCCUCCUUCCUCCCCGUCCUUGCCUCCCCUACCCAACCCUAGUGUAGGUGGCGGCUGUUCUUGGACAUGAAAGAAGCAGAUGAUGAAGAUAAGAAUAGGGAUAGGGGGAAACAAACUCACCAGGGUGAGUUUGUGCGUCCAUGGAUCCAUCUGUAGCUCCUUUCUUUUUCAAUUCUCCUGAUCUUGUUCCCUUCUUCUUUUUGGAUCUGAAAACCUUCUGAUUUCUUCUUCUCCCUUUGUUUUUCUGCAGCAAUUUUGGAGCAGUAUGGAAAUUUCCUGAUGGGCACGCAGAUUUGUCUCUGAGAUAACUUCUUGGGAGGAAAACUCCAUCUUUGUCUCACAUGUUGUUCAAAGUUUCUCUGAAGAAAAAAAUGAAGAAGAAAAGUGUAGUAUAUUAGAAACAUGUAGUAUGUUAGAAGCAUGGGUAUUCAGUUGUUUGAUGACAUAAAGGAUAAUAAUUUCCAUGCUGCUAUUAUUUUUGUGUAUGUCCAACACACAUACAGUUCAGGACACACUAAAAAAAACAUGUAGUGCGCUUGUUUGUGGACAGAGAAAAGGUUGUAUGCUUGUUUUGGAUAGAGAAGUUGAAAAUUUGCUGUUGUUGUUGACACUUUUUGAAUAUGAUAAACUAAUGAACAUAGUUCUUUGCAUGAGACAAAAAAAGAAAAACAUAUGUCAUGGGAAUUGAUGUUGUACAGCUCCCUACAGAAACAUGUAUAUGAGCUGUUUUGAUUUCAUGUUUCAGGGCAAAAAAAACAAAAUUACCUAGGUGUAAAAAUUCAGCAAAUUCUUAUACAUGCCCCCUCCCCUGAACAAGUAGUGUCCCAUGAUUACCCCAGUACAAAUACAGUGAAAACUGAACUUUUUUUCAAGAUCUGCUACAGUGGGUUGUAUAAGAAAAAGCAUAUAAAAGCAUACGCCCCUGCCCCUUCUGGAUCUAUACAGAAAAAUGGAAAUGUACAGUAUAUGUAACAUCUUGUUUGCUGACUACAGAAGAUAGAAAAUGUAUACUCCAAUCAGUCGUAUACCAGUCCCGGUUGAUCCAGUAACAUCGGUUCAUGUAUGAUCUAUGUUUUUUUAAAAGAACAACACCAUUAGAUUGUGAAAGAAAAAAAAGGGCAGCCCCAGUGCAUGUAGCUCCCGCUUGCGCAGGGUCUGGGGAAGGGUCCGGCCACUUUGGGUCUAUUGUACGCAGCCUUUCCCUACAUUUCUGCAAGAGGCUGUUUCCAGGACUUGAACCCGUGACCUCAUGGUCACAAGGCAGCAGCUUUACCACUGCGCCAAGGCUCCCCUUCAUUGUGAAAGAAAAAAAACAUCAUUUUUUUGGUGUGGCCUCAAAAAAAGAAAAGAACUUAGAUCAUUAGUCUCUAUGUGCAGCAGCCAUACGUUGGUGCCCAAUAUGUGCAGCAGCAACAAGCUGGGAUGCGACUGCCAUUUCAAACAUCUUCAAGUCCAUUUGCAAUGCAUGUAUGUGCUUUCAUGAAAAAAUGAUAGCUUGUGCCCUCUUCAAGUCAUGUGCUUUUCAUGAAAAAACUUGUUCUUCUGCUAUGUUGCAAACACUUAUAACUCUGAAAAGAAGAUAAAAAGAGAAAAGAAAGUAACUUAUACUAUGAAAUUCUAACAUGCAAAAAGGUGAAAUGAUGCAUGAAAUGAAUUUUCUUGGAAGUGGUUACAUGAGCUACACAUAAUUGUUGAUGACUGCUGAUCAAGAGGUACUAUAAGUGCCUUUAUAUUGUUGACUUUGACAUGUAUAGUGGAAACAAAAAAAAUGUUGAAAAAUGUCAACAAAUAAAAUAUAAACUACAUAACAUGUUUGUGGUCACAGGCUGGUAUUGGUGGAUCUCAACAUUCUGGUCAACAACAAGAUUCUGGUGGCACGGGGUUUUGUGAGGUACAUAUCCGAGUGCCCUUUCCCCCAUGUGUGACAGAAAAAAUAACAAAAAAAUAUGCUUACUCUCUUAUUCUUGUUGUUGCUGAUACAGAAUGACGCAUACAUGAUAACUGAGCGGUAUGGGCAUUUGCAAGGACAAGAUGAGGGGGGCGAGCCAACAGGGAGGCAAUAAGCGGGAAAUGUAGAUGUGGGGGCAGAAGGUUUCCCUAGCUGGAGCUGGGAUGGCAACACAGCUGAAGCGCACCAAGGUUGCAGCUACCAACCUAGAUACAGAGAACAAGACAGCGAUGAUGGUGAUUUUGACUUUGAUGAAGGUGAGGAUGACUUGGAUGAUGAUUUGGAUGAUGAAGUUGCUGCUGGUUCAAGCCAUGGACCUAGUUUCCCUAAGGACAUGAGUCUUGAUGGUGGUUUGGGUGAUGAUUCAGCAACUGCUGGCUCCAGCCAUGGCCCUAGUUUCACGGAUGGCAUGAGCUUCGAUGAUGUUUCAGACAAUGGUAAACAAGCAGACGCACAUGGAAAAAACAAGAAUGUCUGUGAUUGUGAUGAUCAACGGGAAGGUGGGCCAGUGCAACAAGAAAAUGUUGAACACCUGUCACAGGAGGACAUACUCAUGUUCAUAGAAAGUGACAGUGUCUGUGCGGCUCAGGCUCAGACUUGCAGCCAAGAAGUACGGAGCUACCAUGUGCCAUAUGUGGGCAUGGUCUUUGAUUCUUGUGAUGCUGCCCAUGCAUUCUACAAUGAGUAUGCAACCAUUUGUGGGUUUGCAAUCAAGAAAGCAGGCAACUACCAUGCAACUAAACCUGGUGGCAAGGCAGUGUCCCAUUACACUUACAGGUGCAACCGCUCUGGUAAAGUUGUUGGCGAGGAUGUGCUUGAAGAAAGGAAAAAACAGAGGCAGCUCAAGAAGCAAGAAAAAACAGGGAUCCCCCCGCCUGAGAAGGCAAAAAGGAAGAGGAAAAACUUCAUACAAAUAACUGGGUGCCAGGCUAAAAUGAUUGCAACACUAAAAGGAGACAAAUGGGUUGUCACGGUUGUUGACCUGGAGCACAACCACACCCUUAGCCCUCCAGACGAGAGCAAGUAUCUCAGAUCGCACAAGAAGAUGACAGAGGAAGAGAAGUUGUUUAUCAGGACAUUUAACUCUGUACAGAUGCCCACUAGGAAGAUUAUGGCCAUUCUUUCUUACCUGCGAGGGGGUGAUGCACCAUACACUAAGAAAUAUGUUAGCAAUGUGAGGACGGCAAUAAACAGAGAGAAUGGCAAGGGAGAUAUGUUGCAGGUCCUUGAGUACUUUAGGAACAAACAAAAGGAAGAUCCAAAUUUCUACUAUGCAUUCAAAGUUGCUAACAAGGACAUCAACAAGGUGUUGUGCAUAUUCUGGGCGGAUGGCUACUCGAGAAAAUGUAUGAGCUGUAUGGUGAUUGUUUGAGUUUCGACACGACAUACAAGACAAAUCGUUACAAUAUGUCAUUUGCACCGUUUGUUGGCAUCACUGGACACGGGCUCAACUGCUUGUUUGCUUGUGCUAUAGUGCACAACGAGACGGUGGACACAUUUGAAUGGCUUUUCGACACAUUUCUGGACUGCAUGCGUCGAAAAGCUCCUCUCACGGUCAUUACUGACCAAGAUGUGGCGAUGAAGACCGCGGUUCCUGCUGUUUUCAAGGGUGUUGUUCAUAGGUGUUAUCUCUUCCACAUAAUGAAAAAGGUUCGGGAAAGAUGUGUGAGAACCUUUUCAACACAACCAGACUUGUAUGUUGACUUCAGCGACAUCAUGCAUAACUGCCCGACAGAGGCAGAGUUUGAGACGUUGUGGCCAUCGUUGACGCAGAAAUAUGGAGUAGAUAAUUUCAAGUACUUCAGGUACAUGUGGAAGUACAGGAAGUUGUUUUUCCCAGUCUAUUUCAAGAAAAGCGUCUUCCCAUUCAUCCACUCGACUGCCCGGAGUGAAGGGACAAAUGCCAUAUUCAAGGACAAUGUAGGCUCAACAUUCAAUGUGAUUACCUUUUUGCGUGAGUAUGAGCGGAUAUUGAAAGCGAUGCAGGAGAAUGAGAAGGAACAAGACUCUAUUACCAGAACAACAAAGCCAUCCUACUGGCUGGGCACUGAACUAGAAUUGCAGGCUGCAGAGAAGUACAAUAGAGCGAUAUUCUACAGAUUUCAGAAAGUUAUAAAGUUUGCAAGCUAGUUGCAUGUGGAGGAGGUUGAGAAAAACACAAGGUACGAGGUGUACAAGACACGGAUGCUCACUGAGAAAGAUUUUAGAAUCCGGAGAUAUGUUGUCAUUGUUGAUAUGCACAGAGAGGAUUUUGCUUGCAUUUGUGGAAAGUUUGAAAAAGAUGGCGUUGUGUGCAGCCACAUACUUAGGGUAUUAACACACCUCAACUUGCUGGUGCUACCUGAUAAGUAUUACAUUGACAGAUGGAGAGCCAAGCAAAGAAAAGACAUUAGAAAACUCAGGUACGGCGUCCCCGAGGAGUUAACAGCAGGGGACCAUCACCUUAGAUACAUGUUGCUGUCUAGCAGACUGAAUGAAAUGGCUUCGGAUGCUGCGUAAUCCAAUGAAAAAUAUAUGUAUGUGGUUGGUGAAAGUGUGAGGAUUGAGGCAAAUCUAGAUGAGAUGACUUUGGCAGAGGAACAACAAAAAAUGCAAGACAAGCAUGUUGAGAGAGCUCCAGCCCCUACUAUGGUCACGCCGCACCCUGAUGGGUACGGGGAAAGUCUAAAGGAUCCUGAUGUUAUUGCUUCGAAGGGGCGUCCACAAGAGCGUUACAAGACAUUUUUGGAGAAAAUACAAGCAAAACAAAAAAUUGGUUGCAGUCAUUGUGGUCAGCAUGACCAUGUUUUUGCUUCGUGCACAAACAAACACAUCCCCAGGUCCCAAUUUCACAAGAAGACUACAGUCGGCAAGCAACCAACAGGUUUGCCUCAAUCCUCGCACUUUAAAAGGACUACUACUUAAAAUCUCAUCACUCUGCUGCUGUCAUUUGUUUGUACCUAAAGAACUAAGAAAAAAAAUCUUGUUGUCACAGGAGUCCAUGGUGCUUCAAAGGAUAGUAGUAGGAAGAAACAAACAUGAGGGGGCCCAAAAGCAUGUGACAAACGGAGUGCAUAGAAGGAUACUACUAGUGCGCCUAGUGCCUCAAAGGGGAUGCCUAGCAAGAAACAAACAGGAGGGAAGCAAAAAACAGGCGAGAAGCGGAGCGCACAAAAAGAUACUACUGAUGCAUCUUGAAAAAAGAAAAGAGUUGAAAGUUCUUUAACAAUAAGUACAUUAUAAGGAGAGAAGAUGAAAAUUGUUGCAUGUUUCUCUUCCUCUUUUUUUGCUUAUGAACUGAAAACUCUGUUGCUGCGCAAAUGAUGGGAAACAAUGUGGAUAAAUUACCUUGUUGCCGUUGGUCUUGAUCUUUAUGAGUGUUUCCUUGCAUUAUGAGAAAAAUCCAAAAUGGGCAUCUCCUCCUUAAGUUCAUAAGUUUUUGGUGCCUGCUGUAUGAUCUUUAUUAGUAAAAUGACAAAAUGCAGUAAAACUGAAAACUGUAUGAACAAAACUUGCUACCCUAGCUGGGAUUCUGAAAGAUGACUUCAUACUUUAAUAUGUUUGUAAGCAAAAAAUGAGUGCAGGAGUAUACAGGAAAAACUCAAAAGAUGAGCAAAAAGAUUUUAGGUGGAUCUGAACCUAAAAAUAUAGAGAUCUAGAAACUUAAAGAUGACUGCUGUGCAUUAAAAUGAGUACAAAAAAGAUAUAAAAAGAGAGGGUGACCUUUGUGUCAUCAUCUCCUUGGCCCUCUCCAUCAGAUGGAAAACACCAAAAAAGUAUUGAUGCCCACACGGGAAACAUGAAAAUUCAUUUAAGCAAAAUUUUGGAAAAGGUGCAAACAUAAACACAUGAGCAAAAACACUGUUAUAGUUCCUGUGUUUCACCACAUUACCGAGUGAAAAAGACCAAACUAGGGUAGAAGCACCUUCGGGAGCACAUGUUUCCCAACCAAAUAAAAAAUAACAGAG